rnacentral:tRNA from 1 species
GCGGGUGUAGUUCAGUGGUAGAACGUCAGCUUCCCAAGCUGAAUGUCGUGGGUUCGAUCCCCAUCACCCGCUCCA